rnacentral:rRNA from 1 species
CCAAUAGCGUAUAUUAAAGUUGUUGCAGUUAAAAAGCUCGUAGUUGAAUUUCGGGAUCAAUAUGUUGGUCGUGCCUCGGUACGUACUAGCAUAUUGGUUUCUCCUUUCUGAAGAACCAUGAUGUCAUUUAUUUGGUGUCGUGGGGAAUCAGGACUGUUACUUUGAAAAAAUUAGAGUGUUUAAAGCAGGCUCACGCUUGAAUACAUUAGCAUGGAAUAAUGAAAUAGGACGUUUGAUUCUAUUUUGUUGGUUUCUAGGAUCGACGUAAUGAUUAAUAGGGAUAGUGGGGGGCAUUAGUAUUCAAUUGUCAGAGGUGAAAUUCUUGGAUUUAUUGAAGACUAACUACUGCGAAAGCAUUUGCCAAGGAUGUUUUCAUUAAUCAAGAACGAAAGUUAGGGGAUCGAAGACGAUCAGAUACCGUCGUAGUCUUAACCAUAAACUAUGCCGACUAGGGAUCAGACAAUGUUAUUUUAUUGACUUGUUUGGCACCUUAUG